GCUCCGCUAGCUCAGUGGUAGAGCACCUCCCUAGUAAGGAGAAGGUCCACGGUUCGAUCCCGUGGCGGAGCU